AUCAGAGUGGCGCAGAGGAAACGUGGUGGGCUCAUAACCCACAGGUCCCAAGAUUGAAACUUGGUUCUGAUA
rnacentral:tRNA from 1 species